GACGAACGCUGGCGGCGUGCUUAACACACGCAAGUCGAACGAGACGAUUGAAAGCUUGCUUUCGAAAGUCGAGUGGCAAACGGGUGAGUAACGCGUAGACAACCUGCCUUUGAGAUGGGGACAACAGUUCGAAAGGACUGCUAAUACCGAAUGUUGUAUAUUUUCCACAUGGAAGAUAUAUUAAAGAUGGCCUCUAUUUAUAAGCUAUAGCUCAAAGAUGGGUCUGCGUCUGAUUAGCUGGUUGGUGGGGUAACGGCCUACCAAGGCGACGAUCAGUAGCCGGUCUGAGAGGAUGAACGGCCACAUUGGGACUGAGACACGGCCCAGACUCCUACGGGAGGCAGCAGUGGGGAAUCUUCCACAAUGGACGAAAGUCUGAUGGAGCAACGCCGCGUGAGUGAAGAAGGGUUUCGGCUCGUAAAGCUCUGUUGUCGGGGACGAAUGUGCAGUAUUUGAAUAAAGUACUGUAAUGACGGUACCUGACGAGGAAGCCACGGCUAACUACGUGCCAGCCGCCGCCGUAA
rnacentral:rRNA from 1 species